GGAAGCGGCGCAGGUCCUAAUCCAGGCACUUGUCAUCUCCCGUCUGGAUUACUGAAACUCGCUGUUGGCUGGGCUCCCUGGAUGUGCCAUUAAACCCCUACAACUCAUCCAGAACGCCGCAGCCCGUCUGGUGUUCAACCUUCCCAAGUUCUCUCACGUCACCCCGUUCCUCCGCACACUCCACUGGCUUCCAGUUGAAGCUCGCAUCUGCUACAAGACCAUGGUGCUUGCCUACGGAGCUGUGAGGGGAACGGCACCUCCGUACCUUCAGGCUCUGAUCAGUCCCUACACCCAAAGAAGGGUACUGCGUUCAUCCACCUCUGGCCUGCUCGCCUCCCUACCUCUGCGGAAGCACAGUUCCCGCUCUGCCCAGUCAAAACUGUUCGCUGCUCUGGCACCCCAAUUGUGGAACAAGCUCCCUCACGAUGCCAGGACAGCGGUGUCAAUCACCACCUUCCGGAGACACGCGAAACCCCACCUCUUUAACCUCUAGGGGCUAGGGGGCAGUAUUUUCACGGCCGGAUGAAAAACGUACCCAAUUUAAACAGGUUACUACUCUGGCCCAGAAAACAGAAUAUGCAUAUUAUUAGUAGAUUUGAAUAGAAAACACUCUGAAGUUUCUAAAACUGUUUGAAUGGUGUCUGUGAGUAUAACAGAACUCAUAUGGCAGGCAAAAAACCUGAGAAAAAUUGAAUCAGUGAAUCCCUUGGAAAACUACAGUGACGUAGGAUUUACGUUACACCUCCUAACUCUUCCAUUGGCUGUCAACAAUCUUUAUGAACAGGUUUCAACCGUCAUCUGUUACCGGGCAGAUCGUUUUGGAUCAGUCAAUCAUUGGCCAGUCUGAGGAGAGGUGUCUUAUGAUGCCCGUACACGUGACGUUAUCGGUUUUAUAUUUUUCUUCUGGGAUGAAUAGCUAUUGCCCGGUUGUAAAAUGAUCGCAAUUUUACGUUAAAAAAAUACCCUAAAGGAUUGAUUGUAAACAUCGUUUGACGUGUUUCUACAAACAGUAAUGGAACUUUGAACAUUUCGUCUAUGGAUUUGCGUCCACGCCACAUAGCAAUGUAAAGUGUUCUGGAUGGGUCAACAAAAUGGACGUAUUUGGACAUAAAUGAUAGACUUUGCAGAACAAAUGAACAUUUCUUGUGGAAUUGGGUGCCCAUCCGAGUGCAUUCUGCCGAAGAUCAAAGGGAGGGCAUGACUGUGUAUCUGAAGCAGUUGAUCAUUGAACAUCACACACUCUUCAAACAGUUGUACCCACAUAAAAACAUAAUACCCAAACAUCACUUUAUGAUACAUUACCCAGCAUGCAAAAGACAAAUCGAUCCUUUCUUACGCACAGUAUGUGGAGCAUGAGGUUUGAGGCAAAGCACAAACUCUUUAAGAGCUCGAUAGUCAAUACAUGGGCGCAGACCCCACUCUUUCUUCUUCACAAAAAAGAAACUCGAGGAGGCAGGUGAAGUAGAGGACUGAAUGUACCCCUGACGCAGGGAUUCGGAGACAUAAGUUUCCAUAGCCACCGUCUCCACCUGUGAGAGGGGAUACACGUGACUCCUGGGAAGUGCAGCGUCUACCAGGAGAUUUACCGGACCAUGCCCCCCGACGAUGGGGUGGUAAUUGAGUCGCCUUCUUUUUGGAGAAGGCGAGAGCCAAAUCGGAAGUAUUCGGGGGGAAUGUGCACGGUGGAGACCUGGUCUGGACUUUCCACCGUAGUAGCACCAACGGAAACCCCUAAACACCUCCCCGAUCACUCUCGCGAACACCCCGUGAGAGCCCUCCGUUGCCAUGAAACAGUGGGGUCAUGACAGGCUAACCAGUGUAGGCCUAGCACCACGGGAAACACAGGAGAGUCAAUGAGGAAGAGACUGAUUCUCUCCUUGUGACCCCCCUGCGUCACCAUGCCCAGAGGACCGGUGGCCUCCCUAAACAACCCUGACCCUAAUGGUCGACUGUCUAAGGCGUGAACUGGGAAGGGCAUAGCCACUGGAACAAUGGGGAUCCCUAAACUAUGGGCGAAUGAUCUGUCUAUGAAAUUCCCAGCUGUGCCUGAAUCGACGAGCGCCUUAUGCGGGGAAAACUCAGGAAAAGUAACAUACAAAAACAGGUGUGCAACAGAGGGCUCUGGGUGAGAAUGUUGCCGGCUUACCUGGGGUGAUGCCAGAGUGCCCUGCCUGCUGCCUCGACCCCCAGAGGAACUAACACGACACCGACCGGCAGUGUGACCUCUGCGGCCACAGAUGGUGCACGUGAAGGAACCUCCUCCGGUGUGCAGCACCUCCCAGCUCCAUGGGUAUUGGAGCAGUAGUGCUGGGGGAUGAAACCGAAAGGUCCAGCUCUGAACGUCCGCGGAUAGCCAGCAGGUUAUCCAGCUGAAUGGACAGGUCCACCAGCUUGUCAAAAGUGAGGGUGGUGUCCCUACAAGCCAACUCCCAACGGACGUCCUCACGCAAACUGCAGCGAUAGUGGUCGAUCAGGGCCCUGUCGUUCCAUCCCGCACUGGCGGCCAGGGUCCAAAAGUCAAUCGCGAACUCCUGCGCGCACCUCGUCCCCUGCCUCAGGUGGAAAAGACGUUCAGGUGGAAAAGACGCGGGUGAAAUCCACACAGCGUUGGCCCACUCCAAGGCUUUCCAAGAGAGGCACGAGACGAGGACGGACACCCUCUCACGGCCCGAGGGAGCCGGGUGGACGGUCGCCAG
rnacentral:lncRNA from 1 species